AAGCCGUGGUAUGGGCAUGCUGCGAUGUAUUCCUGAAAUCUCUCCCAUGCUUCCGGGAAGGUUUCAUCCGGGAGUUGCUGAAAUCCGGAGAUCUUGCUCCGGAGAAC